GGGACCAACACUUUACAUGUUGCAUUUAUAUUUCUGUUCUGUUUCUAGCCAGUUGGCAAUUCUUGGAAAUUACUGAUUUGCUUGUUAUGGUUUGUAACCCUUUCGUAACUGUACAGUAGUUCAAUCAAUUCAGUUUGAAUUGAACUUUUGUGCAGAAUGUUCUGCUCUGACUCCAAUCUUUCAUCUCAUGCAGAAAGAGACUUGUGUUCUCUGUAAACAGCAUUUGGCCUGUGCAGCUAUUGACAGGACUCAUCAUGCACUCCACACAGCAAGUCUUUCUCUUUGUGACGGUUGCUCUAGAAGCUCUGCUCUGUGUAUUAUUGCUUUUGCCUGCUCUAGCUUAUACUCUGCCUGCACUUUCCUGACCACUGGUCAGUAGCACUUGUCUCGCUCACAAAGAUUGUACAUAUUUGAAGACAGAAAUAAAUAAUAAACUCAUUUUUGCUUGACAACAUGUUCUCUCCUCCUCUAUCCUAUUGCUUCUCUAGUCCAAGUUUACUUUACAAAAAAUAGUGCACUGUAUAGGGAAUAGGGUGCCAUUUGGGAUGGGCCCCACAUCUCCAGCACAAAUGCACACUGACCACAUUGUAUCCGAUCUCUGCAGUGUUUAUUGAUUUCUACCAGCAACACAUGCUGAGUUGUUCUGUUGUGUGCAGAUUUCACAGUGGUGUUUCUCAACCUCUGGACUGAUCCUGUUUGUGUACUCACACUUCUCUAAUGCCGUAAAUGAGAAGGGUUACGGGAAACCCAUCCCCCUCAUAUGAAGUCAGGAUAAACUAUUGACUGACUGUUGUGUAAUCUAUGGUUGCUGGCCAAUAGCAUCCUGUGUUCUUUAAAAGGCUGUGUGUGUUUUGUUGGUCUUCAUUUUUGCAGAGGCCAUGAUGAAGGGAGUUGCAGUGCGAGUCGGCCUCAUUGGCCUGCAGCUGGCCUGCGUUACCACGGCACCGACCAAUAAGGGACUGGGACAUCUACAGCUUUCACGUCAACUCCACAGUGACCAGUCGCUAUGCAACCACUAUCAUCACCAGCCGGGUGGCCAAUCGGAUCGAUCAAUCACAAGACAUAGAAUUUCAUAGAAUUUCUCUUCCUCAGGAACAUUGAGGGAAAGACGUAUGAUGGGGUUGUGAAACAGAAGGAGGAGGCCUCCAGAGGGCCCCCAUUGAUUUUUUCUGUGGGGAGGACCCAUGAGGAGUUUAAGACGUCUGUGACUGUGGCUGCGCUCAGUAAGGUGACCUUUGAAUUGACCUAUGAGUAGCUGUUGAAAUGCCGACUGGGCAAGUACGAACUGCUGAUCCACGCUCGACCCAUGCAGCCUGUCGCUGACUUCAAGAUUGACGUGUACAUCAAUGAGCGACCAGGCAUUAACUUCCUGGACA